CCCCUAGAUGUUCUGGGCCGCACGCGCGCUACACUGAACAGUUCAACAAGUCUUAACCUUGGCCGAUAGGUCUGGGUAAUCUUUGAACGCUGUUCGUGAUUGGGAUAGACCUUUGCAAUUAUGGGUCUUCAACGAGGAAUUCCUAGUAAACGCAAGUCAUCAGCUUGCAUUGAUUACGUCCCUGCGCUUUGUACACACCGCCCGUCGCACCUACCGAUUGAAUGGUCCGGUGAAAUCUCGGGACGGCGGCUUGGUCGCUUGCGUCCGACUGCUGAAACUUGAUUAAACCAUAUCAUUUAGAGGAAGGUGAAGUCGUAACA
rnacentral:rRNA from 1 species